rnacentral:pre_miRNA from 1 species
ACCUCUCAAUAUCCGUGCUGAGAUUUCGUCACACAUCAGACCACAAGGGCUGAUGAGACUCCCAAGAUAAGUGAAGCG